GAUGAAGAACGUAGCGAAAUGCGAUAAGUAAUGUGAAUUGCAGAGUUCAGUGAAUCAUCGAAUCUUUGAACGCACAUUGCGCCCGCCAGUAUUCUGGCGGGCAUGCCUGUUCGAGCGUCAUUACAACCCUCAGGCCCCCGGGCCUGGCGUUGGGGAUCGGCGGAAGCCCCCUGCGGGCACAACGCCGUCCCCCAAAUACAGUGGCGGUCCCGCCGCAGCUUCCAUUGCGUAGUAGCUAACACCUCGCAACUGGAGAGCGGCGCGGCCACGCCGUAAAACACCCAACUUCUGAAUGUUGACCUCGAAUCAGGUAGGAAUACCCGCUGAACUUAAGCAUAUCAAUAAGCGGAGGA
rnacentral:misc_RNA from 1 species